ACUAUGUUAACAUAAUUUUUUUCGUAUCUAAUGUUUGAUCAUUCGUCUUAUUUAAAAAUUUGUAAAAAACCUAAAAACAUUAGUCGCGUAUAAAGUACUAUUCAUAUUUUAUCAUCUAGUAAUAAUAAAAAUAUUAAUCACAAAAAAAUUUAAAUAAAACGAAUGGUUAAACAUUAGAUAUGGAAAAAC
rfam:Oryza brachyantha chromosome 7, whole genome shotgun sequence.